CCUACGGGAGGCAGCAGUAGGGAAUCUUCCGCAAUGGGCGAAAGCCUGACGGAGCAACGCCGCGUGAGCGAAGAAGGCCUUCGGGUCGUAAAGCUCUGUUGUCAGGGAAGAACAAGUACCGGAGUAACUGCCGGUACCUUGACGGUACCUGACCAGAAAGCCCCGGCUAACUACGUGCCAGCAGCCGCGGUAAU
rnacentral:rRNA from 1 species